AUACGUAGGGGGCGAGCGUUGUCCGGAAUGAUUGGGCGUAAAGGGCGCGUAGGCGGCUUUGCAAGUCAGUAGUGGAAGUCCAUUUUUCAAGGAUGGAAGUGCUACAGAAACUGCGGAGCUUGAGUGCAGGAGAGGUUAUCGGAAUUCCCGGUGUAGCGGUGAAAUGCGUAGAGAUCGGGAGGAACACCAGUGGCGAAGGCGGGUAACUGGACUACAACUGACGCUGGGGCGCGAAAGUGUGGGGAGCAAACAGGAUUAGAUACCCUGGUAGUCCACACUGUAAACGAUGAAUGCUAGGUGUAGGAGGUAUCGACCCCUUCUGUGCCGCAGUAAACACAAUAAGUAUUCCACCUGGGGAGUACGAUCGCAAGAUUGAAACUCAAAUGAAUUGACGGG
rnacentral:rRNA from 1 species